CCUGAAUAUUAUUAUAGAUAGAGAUAAACUGAAGAUAUAUUUACAAAUAAGUCAACAUGAACGAAAUGGUCAGUUGACCCCUUUAGGAGUUAUUGCCCUUUAUGGUAAAUUUUUAACCAUUUUUUGUAAAUCUUAGUAAUCUUUUACAAAAAUCUUCUCCUCUGAAACUACCGACCAAAUUAAUCCAACUUGGCCACAAUCAUCUUUGGUGUAUCUACUUUGAAAAAUGUGUCCGGUGACCUGGCCAUCCAACCAAGAUGGCAUCCACAGCUAAAAAUAGAACAUAGGGGUAAAAUGCAGUUUUUGGCUUAUAACUCAAAAACCAAAGCAUUUAGAGCAAAUCUGACAUAGCCAAAAUUAUUUAUCAAGUCAAGAUCUAUCUGCCCUGAAAUUUUCAGAUGGAUCGGACAACCCGUUGUUAGGUUGCUGCCUCUGAAUUGGUAAUUUUAAGGAAAUUUUGCCGUUUUUUGUUAUUAUCUUGAAUAUUAUUAUAGAUAGAGAUAAACUGUAAACAGCAAUAAUGUACAGCAAAGUAAGACCUAAAACUAAGUCAACAUGACCAAAAUAGUCAAUUGACCCCUAAGGAGUUAUUGUCCUUUAUAGUCAAUUUUUAACAAUUUUCAUAAAAUUUGUAAAUUUUUACUAACAUUUUCCGCUGAAACUACUGGGCCAAGUUCAUUAUGGAUAGAGAUAAUUGUAAGCAGCAAGAAUGUUCAGUAAAGUAAGAUGUACAAACACAUCACCAAAACACAAUUUUAUCAUGAAUCUAUCUGCGUCCUUUGUUUAAUAUUCACAUAGACCAAGGUGAGCUACACAGGCUCUUUAGAGCCUCUAGUUUUCGUUUCCUUGUGAGAGUCUGUUUGGGUAUGAUCCUCUCCACAGCGGAAAUGUCAAAUAUUUAUGUCACGUUAACUGUAAUGUAAACUGGUUUCAAAAUGGUCUGAACUGCCAUUGAGUAAACACAUCGUCAAUUUCGGUGGCAGAUCCAGAAAUUUUCAUAAGUGGGGGCCCACUGACUGACCUAAGAGGGGGCCCGCUCCAGUCACGCUUCAAUGAUUCCCUAUAUAAGCAACCAAUUUUUUUCCCAAAAAGGGGGGCCCGGGCCCCCUGCGCCCCCUAAAUCCGCCUCUGAAUUUGGUUUAGUGGAAACAUGAAUAGUAUGUCAAUGAUAUUUGGUAUGCAGUUAAAGUAGUAUUAAACCAUCUUAUUUUUAUGAAGAUUAUUGGGCACCUAGGAUAUGUCAAUGAGACAGCAAAUGCAAAUAUAUUGAGAUCAAAAUAUUCUCUUCAACAAAUACAAGGUGUCAAUAUCCAUUGUCAAUUACCAUGAUUACCUGGGAAUAGAAUAGGAAUAUCAAAGAUCUGUCAUUGACUCCUUAUUUACUAUAAAACAAAAACAAAAAAGAUUGGAUGAGGUUUCUGACAUAGGACCGACCAUAUCUCCUUGUAUACAUAUUAUUUCUUACUAUGUAUUGACUUGAUAUGGAAAACAUCAUCUCUGAUACAAUCCCUUAUUUUACUGCAUGUAUCCAUACAAACAAAACAAACUUGAAAGAAGUGCAUCCGAGUUGACAAUUUACCUAAAAAACAAAGUAGAAACAUAGAAUGAAGGACAGAAAGUCACAGGACAAAAAGUCAAAAUUCAGUUUUGAGAUUAUUUUCUUUGAACAAGAAAACACUUAUUUCAAAAAUAUUAUAUUUGUAUUUUUCUUGAAGUUUAUAUAUGAAGCAACUUUGUAAUUAAAAUUUAUUUAAAAAAUAUCAAUAGUGAUCAAAUUAUUGUUAUGAAAACAAAAUGUCAAAGUGGCUUGGUACUUGAAUGGCUUCA
rnacentral:lncRNA from 1 species